UUUUUUGUCACCUUACAUCACUAAAAGUACAACAGCAAGCGAUCAAAAAGUCAUAUGCACCCCAAAAUAGUGGCAAUCAAACCAUCAUCUCAUCCCGCAAAAAAGGAGACCCUACCUAAGAUAAUCGCUCACAAACUGAAAACUAUGGCUCUAAGACUAUGGAGACACUAAAACAUGAUUUUUUUUGUUUAAAAAAUGAAAUCAUUGUGUAAAACUUACAUAAAUAAAA